ACCAUGACACUCUGUACAUUGUAAUGGGGGCCAAUUGUGAUUUCAGAGAGGUAUGUGUAAAUCGUGACACAUUAUGCUUAGUGUACAAGGUGUUAUUUUUUUACAACAUUAACAUCUUCCUGCAUUUCCUUCUUCAAAGGAAAACAUGCUGCAAAUUAGGAGAUGGUGGUGUCUCGCUCUCCUGCAGAACUUCCGUUAGCCGUCCGAAGAAGACCGAUUGCAGGACAGAAUACGGCGACGAGUGCAAGGAGGGCUACAGACGCUGGGAAAUUGACAGAACUGGAAACCGGGAACAGGGUUGCUUGUUAUGGGCCAGAAAAAUACCAUGAUACUUGCCAUUGUUAAACAUUUAUGGAAGCUUAAGGAAUGUAUUUGGCUUAGCUAAAACAGAUUUCUUUGCAGAUCAAACAUUUUUUGCCUGGGGUGAAAAU